UACGUAGGGUGCGAGCGUUGUCCGGAAUUAUUGGGCGUAAAGAGCUCGUAGGCGGUGUGUCACGUCGAUCGUGAAAACUUACAGCUUAACUGUGAGCGUGCGGUCGAUACGGGCAUCACUGGAGUUCGGCAGGGGAGACUGGAAUUCCUGGUGUAGCGGUGAAAUGCGCAGAUAUCAGGAAGAACACCCGUGGCGAAAGCGGCUCUCUGGAACGGUACUGACGCUGAGACGCGAAAGCGUGGGGAGCGAACAGG
rnacentral:rRNA from 1 species